rnacentral:snoRNA from 1 species
AUUUAUGAUGACAAGAUUUGCUGUGCACCAGUCUGAGUACUCAAACGCAUGACAGACCCAGUAAUAUACCCAAAUUUCUGAUC